AGGGUUAUACUAGCAAAUCCAUCCGUUCACGAUGUAUAUAUUUUAAGGAGUUAAAAGUUUGUUCAUCGGAGUUUUGAGGGAUAUAGCAUUAUGAAUUUUGUUUCAUAGUUAUAUCUUCACCGCAUCUUGUUAAAUCUGCGUCAACUGAAUAGUUGUUGGUGAAUUGUUGUUAACCUUUGUUGUUGAUAAAAAAUUUUCCUUAUUUGAAUCUUUAAUAUGAUAGGAAUUCAUUUUUUGGAUAUUGGAUGUAGCUUCUGGAUAGCUGUCCAUGUACCCGACAAGUGAAAGCAUGUUCGUUGACUCAUUACAGUCCUCAUCUUGGAAAUGUGAGGGCUCAACUGUUACGUACGUAAGAGUUGUACAGGUUGUUGCUCUUGCUCUUGGCACAAAGUAUGCAUUACUCAGCUUUUUGUUGUGAAGCAUGUCUUGUAUCUUCUUCAAGUUGGUGGCUGUUGAACCCAUCUUAGCAGACCCUCGGUUAUUUAGUUUUGUGUUAGCAUGGAAUACCAAUGGUUUUAACAAGUUUCCUUGUUCUCCGUCAUGGCUCAAUUUUCCUGCUUCUUUCUUUAUAUCCAAGUUGCCUGAUAACUGUCCACUAAGUUCCUUAUUUUCUUGCUUACAGUUAACAUAUUCAUUUGUCUGACUGGGUUCUUUGUUUUCACCAGUCUUAGGCUCAUUCUUAUUUUCAACCUUACUUGAAAGGGUCGUGGGAUUCUCAGAGAUUUUGUUUGUAGAAGACUCUAUUGGCUUUCGGAUGGUAACAGUAGAGCUUCUUUCUGGUUUGACGAACAAAGCUUUGUUGUCUUGCUGCGCUGUUUGUUCUGAAGUAGGUUUGUUUGCAAAAAAUGCUUGCAAUCUACGAAUUCUGUCAGACUUUCGCUCCGCGAAGCAAACGAAAAUCCUUUUUUUCCCAACCAUCAUUCCAUUCAAUGUGUCUUUGGCUCUAACGGCAGCCUCUAUUUGACGAAACGCUACGAAACCAUAACCUUUGGAGAUUCCUGAAUUUGGAUAGCAUGCUAACAUGGAAGACAAAAUCGACCCGAAGGGUGAGAAUAAAUCUUCCAGCUGACUCUUGCAUGUGAUGACGGUAUCAUCUAAAUUUUUAACGUAUAGAUUUGAAGGGUCAAUAGGAGAAUUAGGGAUACUUGGAGAGCUUUCACGUAAAGAGUCCCAAUGCACGAUUGACUGAGGUUUAUUAUCUGGGUUCCAAGCGGCUGGAUGAUUUUGCUGAUUUGAAACACCGGUAGUUGAAACGCUACCCCAUUGGCUUUUCUCCUUAGUUGGUGAGCCCAUAAUCCAUGUCAUCUUCGAACAUGUAGCAUUUUCGAUAUUUAUUUGAGUUUUGUUAGCGUUUUCCGAUGGGAAAGGCCAUAAGCUUUCACCAGUCGGCGUUGUGGGAAUUGACUUCACUGAAGAAGAGGCUUUAUUUUUUAUACUGACCUCUAAAAUGCUUCCUUUGUAUGGAACGUUAUUUAAUUUUUCUAUUGCCUUAAUAAUGAGGUUAGUAUCAUGAAAUAGAUUAUGCAAAUAUUGGGGUUUUCUCUUCAUAUUGAGCUUACAUUUUGACAUGAUUCAACUGAAUCCAUAAUCACUUCGCCAUACCGGAACCCUCUUUGGUCAAGAAACUGGCUGACCGCCGUCCCUUUUACUACACCAGCCUGUUUAAAGUGGUUAUAUAAGUCAAUCGGUGUGACUUCGGCAGGUAGGUUCAAGAUACUAAGGGGUAACGUAGAAGCGAAGGCAUUUGGUACAACUUGCAUGCUAAUAUCUUCCAAACCAAGAGACGGUAUGGUAAGCGUUGUUUCUGGCUUCGGGUUACGCGAAUUUAUGCCUCUCACAGUUUCCCAAUUUCUUUCUUCGACAUUUGGAAUAAAUUCCUUAAUCUGAGACUGUUUGAGUCCUGGCUUAACGUUUUCCUCAUCUGUAUUGUUUUGGAUGCUAGGAUUGAACACGUUCGCAGUGAUUGACGUAUCGUUAGGUUUGAAUUUUUUGUCUGUCAGUUUCGCAGGAUUUACGACUCUUGCUUUAAUGGUCCUUUUUUUUAGGUUAGUAAUUUUUUGGAGAAUGAUUUUUCGAUUUUUUUUUCUGUAAUGCUUGUCUCUAAUUUUUCCCUUCAGUCACUUACAAUUUUCUUUGGCCCAGAGUCAUUCCUUUAGCGUCCUUUAGAACUUCUUCAAUGCUUUCAGCAUUAACGAAUUUGACGAACCCAUAUUGCACUCCAUUUUUAGGAGGUUUAAAAGGUUUCGCUUUUUCCUUAGGAUAAAAACUAUCAAGUAAUCGACGAAAGAUGGAUUCUACUUGUCCUAAAGAAUUGAUUAAUAUAUCGCUUUUAUUUAUGUUUUCUAAUGUUUUUCCUCGUGUUUUUAUCCUUGACUUGUGUGUUCAUACCAUAUUUUGAAAAGUGUUUGAUGAUUUCUUCAUCAGAAAGUCGGGAAUCUAUAUUUCCUACAUAUAUAGUACUGCUUUCAUCUUCAUACUGUCCGGGGACAGAGAGUUUUGAAUUGUUCAUUUUAUCUCAAAAAAGAUGUGUGAUGGAAAGGAAUGGUUGUUGUUUUUGGUAUAUAUAGGAUCGCUGUUUGUUUACAUUUCGAUGAUGCAUGACUGAAACUAUUACCACCAUAACAAAUGAGAGUAAACAAACCUUAAAUUGACCUCUUAACAUUUUUAGAGUAAUAUUUUUUGUUUUUUUUUAAAAAUGCUUGUUUUAUAUUUACAACUUGAUUUCCUAAUAUUCAUGCAGUUUGGUUCAUAUCUGUUUUAUCCAUAUCUCUACUAAAUCCUCAAAUCGCAUUUAUAAUGACAUUUUAUUUUAUUUUAUUAUUAAAGUCAAUAUUACCUGCUCGCAUUAAAAAAUAUUUCAAAUUCAUACCAUCCUUUUUUCGGCUUUCGCUGAUUUCAAAUUAAAAGUUGAAUUUCCUUAAAUGAAUCAAAAAGCAAUUAGGCUAAUAUUCUGGUGAAUCCAUUCAUAAAUUUUCAAUUAUUGUUGUUUUUGGCAAACCAACUGAUAUCGCACAACCUGUCAAUAAGUUAGGUCAAUCAGUUUAUUACUCAAAAUCCAGAUGUUACUAAAUUCUUUCAUCUGCUUUUUUCUUUGGUUUUCUUUGAUUUUAGAAGUAUGAUAGUUUAGAGCUUUACUCGCCUAUAUUCUUUGCUAACUAACUAUACAGUAUUUUACUGGCAAAAGG